UGUGUCACAUGUGUGCAGAUAUUCAUAGU
rnacentral:piRNA from 1 species